CUAGCCCAAGGUCACCCAGCAGCUGCAUGUGGAGGAGCGGGGAAUCGAACCUGGUUCACCAGAUUACGAGACUACCACUCUUAACCACUCCAACCACUACACUACACUGGCUCUCUAGUAAUGCCUCUUGUUGGCCUGGAUGGAGAGGGGUACAUGUAGGACCCUCUAACUUGUGUGUGGCUGGACAGUAGCCUAUUGUACAAAGGUAAGGAUCAUUUCUCUUGCCCUGCCCACCACCGGCAUGUGCCCCCCUCCCAAGUUUGCCCCUAGAGAAUGUAGCUCUUGGGCUGAAAUAAUUCCUCCACCCCUGGGAUAGAGAGAUAUUAGAGUUGUGGGUCCAGAUGGCUGGGUCUUAUGUUCCACAUUCCAGAGCAAAUAUUGAGAUGCUUGAAGUGAAAGGCAAUUAUUCCAGGGCUGUGCAUGUUAGUACUACCCAUGCCUUAUGGUGUAAGCAGCUGUUUUCACUAGAUAAAUUAAUAUGCGUUUGCUGUAUAUGGGCAUAGGCAAUAACUGCUGCUUAUGUCAGCCAUUUUUAUACAUGCCAAAUAUGAGUUUACAUCAACGUACCCGGGAUAAGGAGAGUGCAGCAUGAGGUAUAUUUUCAACAUUUGGAACUCAAACCAACCUAACUCCAGUUCUAAUUUUGAGUAUUUUUGUUUUAAGGCAUUUCAGAGCAGCAGGUUACUUCUGAUUCAACAGUCUUUCAUGCUUUAUAUUUACGUAACACAACAGCAAAUAGGCUUAAUCAGCAUCGAAGGUCUUAAAGCAUUAAAGAGGAAAUGGACUCCAGAUGUGAUAUAGGGAGUGCUGGAUCAGCAGGGACACAAAUAUAAAGAAGUAGAUGAUCUCAGCCAUUGUCUUUAGCUUUCCACUAUUCUGAGCCUGCCAGUUUCAUUAUGGAUAAAAUGGUGGGUGGGUGGAAAAUUUCCAGCUCCAUGUUACCUCUUUGUCUGUUCAGGUGUUAGAUGCACCAGGAGAGAGCAAGACCUCUGCUCUAUGGUAAUUUGAGGUUUGCACUAGAUUAGCCAGUUACCUCUUACUUUAAACUGUCAACCCUUAUUCUAGAGCAUCACAAUAAUAUAAAGUGUAACAGAAGAGGCUGUGGCUCCAAAAGGACCUCCCAGCACCCCCCAUAGUCCUAUUGUCAACUAAUAUACUUAUUCUAGUCCAGGAAUGGAGAGCCUGUGGCCCUCCAGAUGUUUCAUGACUAGUGGUCAAGGAAGAUAAUGGGAAUUGCAGUUCAGCAACACCUGGAUGACCACAAGUUUCCAAUCCUUCUUGUAAGUCCAAAGCUAUUUUUGACUGGUGCCAGAUCCAAGGGGGAAAUAGGUUGUUUAAAUUGUGGAUAACUUUAUACUGGUACUGGCUAUCUGUCCAUGUGUGUGCAUUCUCUUCUCCACCAUCUUUUCUUCCUAUUCCUUCCCUGUAUUAGGAAAUGAUUAAAUUUAAAUGGCUGUCUCUAUUACAAAACCUCAAAACACAUGUCUUUUCAAUGUGGUGUUCAGGGCUCUCCUUGUAUUUGAUCCUUACAACAACCCUGCAAUGUAAGUUGGGCAGAAAUACGGUGACUGGUCCAACAUCCCCCAGUGAGCUUAAUGCCUGAGCAAGGAUUUGAACCCUGGUCUUCCAUGUCCUGAGCUUUCAUCAGUAUUGAAAGAAGUGCAAAAUAGCAUAGAAUUCAAUAAGCAGCAUCUAUUCAUUGUUUAAAAGAAAAAAGCCAUCUUUCAUAUUUUCUCCUCAUUUCCUAAUGACCCCAAAGAGUGUCAGAUUAUCAACAAGUUUUCUCUUAAUAUCCAGAUCCCCGAUUAAUCAACUGAAAGUUUAAAGUAUCUACCAAUUAUUGCUGGCGAACCUGUUACGAUCCUUUGCAAAAACGUGCAUCCAUAUUCUGAUGCUUUUUUUUUUGUUGGUUUUUGUAAAGGUAAGCAGAGAUUUUUAUACAGUAUGUCAUCACUUAUUGUAGGUAGCUUCGUGUUUGCUGUUGCUAGUUACUGCUCAUUGGCAAAAUGAAAGCUGUCAUGUGCCAUUUGUUGCCUCUGUAAGUCACAGUUACUUUCUUGGAUCACUUCAAAUAACCUAUAAUGUCAGGCUAACAGCUCCAGCUAAUAGUUACAUGAUAAUCUGUGUCUAGAGGAGAGUGACAUAAAUGGUGAGGAGCCUGGACACAAAGUCCUAGGAGAAGAGGCUGAGAAUAGCCUAGAGAGGAGAUAAUUAAGAGGUGAUAUGAUAGCUGUCUUCAGUUGCUUGAAGGGCUGUCACAAAAAUAAUGAAGCAAAUGCGUUUUCUCUUGCUCCAGAGGAUAGAACCCAAGCCAAUGGGUUAAAAAAUAAAUAAAGGAAAGUAGUUUUAGCCUGUGUACACAUUUCCAGCUGAAAAUGCAGCUAGUAGGUCAUUCUUCUUCUCAGUUCAGAUCGAAUCUGGUUUGGAGGGAAAUGCAUCAAAACACAGUAUUCCAUAAGUGACAGGAUAGAUACGGAAUGUGGCUAUUGUGUGUAUGCUGCUUUUCAAACCAGCAGUGGGAGUGCACUGGAAGCAGAGUAAAUGGGAGUGUGUACACAACCUUAGACUAAACAUUAGGAAGAACUUCUUGACAUUACCAGAUAUUGGAUAACAAGGGAGAGAGGACUGCCUCAGACUCUCCUUUCUUAGAGGUUCUAACACUAGCCCUGCUCCCUAGUGUAGGUGAAUUACCUUGUCCAGGCCUUGCCCCCUGGCCUCUUGCCUCAGUGCCAACACAGUUUUCUCAUUCCUCUUCCUCCUCUGUUAUUCUGGGCUUAUCACUAUAUAGUGGAGUGCAUGUGCACAGUACCUCCAAGAAACAUGGUGGCUGGGCCAUAGGAAUGGCAGCCACCAGGAAAAUGGGGUAUGAUGAAGAAACAGUGACUUGAUGGGCUACGUUGCAGGCCACCUCUUGAGGAUAUCCAGUAAUCAGUGGAUACAAAGCACAAGCCAGAGAUGGAUUAACACAGCUGAGGCUGGAAUCCAAUGCACAUUCACAUGAGUAAACUCAGUUUUAUAAAAUUGGAACUAAUGUCAUACAUAAGCUAAAGUUGUGCAUUCUAUUGCAACCAAUGCAACUGUCAAAUAUAUCAGCUUUGGAAAAUUCAUUAAUUGGCUUCAUUCACAUGUUCUUAUAAGCCACGGUCUUGGUGUACUGCGAGUUACUGUGCCUAAUUGCUUCCGCUUCAGUUGUCACCAGGUGCAAAUGGAAUAAAUAAACCAGGAAGAUGUAAUCAAGUUUGGUUUCCUGUUACAUCUGAAUCCAGGAUCAUGGUUUGUUGCUCCAAAAUAAGCCAGGAUCUGUUAGCCAAUAACAAACUAUGGCUUAAGGCCGACUGGUGACCUUGGCUUGUUAGGGAGAAACAAAUUAUAGUCCUGGGUUCAGAUAUAACAGGAAGCCAAGUUUAAUUGUGGAUUCCUGGUUUAUUUCUCCUGCUUGCACCAAAGGUGGAAGUGAUGGGGCGGUGCACAUCAGCACAUCAUGCACAAUAAACCAGAAGCCAUGGCUAAUCGUGACAUGUGCAUGUGGCAAUGGUCAGUCUAUGGUAAAGGCUUGCCAGGUUCAGCUAGCUGAUCAGAUUUCCCACUGACAUUUUACAGAUACAGCAAGGAAGUGGGUAGGAUUUAUUUAUACACACAGCUGUAAGGCAGAACUAACCGAUAAUGUGCCAGAAGUUUGUAAACUCAAUGGAUGAUGCACUUAGAAAAUAUUUUUCCUAUUUACUUUCCCAUGAAACUGUUAUUUUAGCUGUCUUUUUAUAUUUGCAGAAGUGUUUAUUUUCAACAGAAGUUAAUGAGUCACAGGAGCAAGGAGAGGAAACAGUUGGUAGCUAAUUGCUAAGUGCAAAUGUCAUCUGAGCAUGCAUAUUUUGAGGCUGUAUGAAGGGAUACAAUCAUAACAGAUGAGCUACCUUCAAAUUCUUAUAUAUUCCAAGCCAGGAAUAGGAGAUCUGAGAGUUAGGUUAGCCCAAACAGAUGUUCAUCAGUCAUGCAGGCUACAGAAGUGAACUUGAGUUCUUGAAGCUGACAUGGAAUGAUCCAUUAAAGUUUCCAAUAAUGGUCUAUUGAGAUCAGGAACUCAUUUUUCCCACUUAAGAUAUUAGGCUAGUUUUAUUCCACUGCCGCUCCUGUCAGUAUCAGAGGGGCUACAGCUGAGCUAUUGCACAGAUGGGUAGGCCUGCUGUGAUGGUACUUCACAAGCCUUGCCUCAGAAAAUUUAAUACUUGGCUUGACUGCAUACCUUGGGCCUAAACGACUGUGACUGGGAAAGAAUUACUUCCCAGGUCUUACAGGCUGGUGACGCUACUGAAGUUUUGCUUCCCACUUCAAGGCAUCCCUCUGUCUAAUAACAAACUCAGGGUAAGUGCCAACUGAAAAGCAGUCCAAACAGAAGGGUUGUGGGCAGUUGUACUGAUUCAAAGAACUAAUCUGCUUGAGAUAUGUUGAGCUUUACACAAUGGCUUUUGUGUCUCUGUCAGAUUCUAGUCAUGGCAGCAGGGUUGUAGGUUCUGGAAGAGCUCUAGUUCAGAGCUUGGGAAACACAAGAGAGUGGGGUUCCAGUUCUGACCUGUUCUCAUUCAUUGGGCUGUGGUGUGAAAGGAAAGCCUGUCUUCAUUGGCACUGAAUCCCCUUAGAAGUGAUCCAGUGGAUAAUGGUACCAAGAUACAACAUUCCUUUUUAAAAAUGGGAAACAGUGGGCCUAUUCUGGCUUAAAGCCUUUUACAAAAGAGACACCCCUUUGUACGGAAUAGCUAAACAACCAAUGGUUCAAAACUUCUCCCACAAUUGGAUGGUACUCCAUCAAAUCAUUCACUUCAUAAGUAGCACAGACGUUUGCAAACAAGGCACAAAGUCAUUAACCAUGUUUGAAAAUGUUUUAUAUACAACAGACCCUAGGAGCAAAGGUUUAAUUUCUUUAAUUUGUAAAGCUAUUGUAAACUUUUCAAGAUCAAAAUCCUCCAAUUUGCAGACUAGAUGGGAAAGACACUUGUGGGAAGAGAAUGAUGAUGUUUUGUACAGAAGAAUGUGGCCCACAAAUCCUUUUCAAGCUUGUGUGCAAGAAACUACCUUAAAGCUACAGAGGGUACCUGCAUUCCACACGGCUAAAUAGACAAGAAUAACUCUCCACAAAAUACAUUCUCCACAAUGCUGGAGAAACUAUGGGAAUGAAGGAACAUGUGGUGGGAAAGCCUAUUAAUUAAAAACUUUGGGUUAAAAAUAUUUCAGGAAAUGGAACAAAUUACAUUUCAUUUGAUUACUUCACAUCCCCAAAUAGCACUACUUUCAAUAUUUGCAGAUAAAGCAAAAGAUCUUAGGGACAGAGACUUAAUUAUGCAUCUUAUAAUGGCAGCAUGUCUUGCUGUUGCUAAGCACCAAGAGCAAGAGGACAUUGAAUGCAUACUUAUAUGAAAUUUGGUAUGCUUAUGUUUGGGACCUAACCUUGAUGGAAAAGUUGAGUACAGUAAAGAAGACAACAUGAGAAUCUACAAAACUUUUACAAAACGUGGUCCAUUUUUAUUUCAUUUGCAGCAAAAAAACCCCAACCAACCAAAAAACACCCAUGUGUAUAAACCACCCAAGAUGCAUGGGAACCUGUGAAAUGACACUUUUAAAAUUGGCACAUUAAUGUUUUAUUUUCUUAUUACUAAUACAACUGGAUGUAGUUGGUGUUGUUAUGGGGCAUGACAGGAGGGAACUGUAAUUUAUUGGAUAUUUGCUCCUAUAUUCAAAAUUAAUAAAGCAAAGCAUAAAGCUUUUGCAAAAAGGCCAACAGAACAGAUCGAGCGAAUUUUCACCAGAAGUUCCAUAUCUAGGGUGCCAGCACUGAAAAGACCCUGUUUCUGGUGACAACCAAUCUUGCCUCAUUUGGUACCACAAAUGUAAAAUUGACAGAGGCCUCAGCCUGAUUUUGGAGAAAAACAGAAUAACUACUUAAAGGUAAAGGGACCCCUGACCAUUAGGUCCAGUCGUGGACGACUCUGGGGUUGCGGCGCUCAUCUCACUCUAUGGGCCGAGGGAGCCGGCGUUUGUCCGCAGACAGCUUCCGGAUCAUGUAGCCAGCAUGACUAAGCCUCUUCUGCACUUUGAUGUGCUUUCGAACUGCUAGGUUGGCAGGAGCAGGGACCGAGCAACGGGAGCUCACCCCGUCGCGGGGAUUCGAACUGACGACCUUCUGAUCGGCAAGGCCUAGGCUCUGUGGUUUAACCCACAGUGCCACCCGUGUCCCCAAUAACUACUUAGAAUACCUAUAUAAAAUAUAUAUUAAAAGACGAGACUUCUGGUAAAAAGGAGAGAGGGCUACCUGUCGCUUUUUAUGACAUAAAGUAGGUAUGUUAUUCUUCUUGGUAAGAGUCAAGUAACUCAAGAGUCUUGUUUUUAUAUUGAAAUUAUACUAUCAGCAGUAUAGUACAGGUUUCUAUAACCUUUCCCUUGUGAAAACACCUAGGGGCUUCUAGCCUCCCAGGCUCCAAUUCCAAAAGCAUGGAACUCAUUUUGAUUAUCAUGUUCAGGGUGAAACUGUAACCAGUAUUUCAGCCCUGUCCCCUGCACUGCUGCUGCUGCCAUCAUCUCCUCUCCUUUAUUGCAUUUGCACUAAAAUGAGAAGCUGCCCUGUGCUGGAGAGCUGUCCCACCUGUAAACUUUUGGGCAUCCCAGUCUGCUCUUCACCACAAUAGCUGUGGUGAGGUAGGCAUAGACUGAGGGUGCUUUCUUCUAAGGUGGGCUCCUUUCACCCAGUUUAUAUUUAGAUUCAUGAAAAGGGUUCUUCAUGCACCCUUUAUAGCAUUUGUACAUCUGAAAAUAAAUGCAAACCCUCCUUUGUUGCAAGAAAGCAGAGGAAGAAAACACAAUAGCCCUUAUUUAAUGGUCCUGACGCUUCUCCCUUGAGUUUCAAGUUCGUGUAUAAAUCACAGCCAAUGAAAACAAACAGCAGGGCAAGACAGAAAAACAAGGUUAAGCAGGGAAUGUCUGAGAAACAGACAGAGACUGCCUGCCAGCACUGCAGGGGAGGAUCUGGAGACAAGCAGCAUCUAUUCCUGUCUCCCUCCUGCCCCUAAAGCACACAGCAGGGUCCUGGUGGUCCUUGGUGCUUCAAGUUAUUAAUAUAACUGUUUAUAAAAAAGUAUUGUAAUUAACCACCAACAUAGCAAGCCGCCUGGGGUUAUGAUCUGUGACUUUCUCAGAGCAUAUACAUUGUUUAGCACAACAACAGCAGGAUUCUGAUCAGAGUUUCUGAGCAGUGUGAUAAAUUGGUUUUAAGUAAUAAGACUGGCUAUGUGCCCAAAAAAUAUAUUCUGAAGCUGGUGUUUGCCAGUUCAACUUAUCUGUAAUUUAUUUUCUUGAGGACUUCCUUGACAUGCUGCCCAGAUAACUGGUGUCAAUAUCAAAGUUCAAUCGAUACCUAAUCAACAUAUUUCCUAAAUGUUAUUCACAUACAUUAUCUCUGCAAUCCUUACUACAGUGUUGCAAGGUAGGCAAUAUUACCUUGGAUCACAGAUAGGGGAAGGGCUGAGGCGUAGUGGCUUCCUUAAACACCAAGAGCUAGCCCUAAAGUCAUUUUGUUGGCCAAGGGUCAGCAACCUUUUUCAACUGUGGGCCGGUCCACCGUCCCUCAGACCAUGUGGUGGGCCAGACUAUAUUUUGGAAAAAAAUAAUGAACAAAUUCCUAUGCCCCACAAAUAACCCAGAGAUGCAUUUUAAAUAAAAGCACACAUUCUACUCAUGUAAAAACACCAGGCAGGCCCCACAAAUAACCUAGAGAUGCAUUUUAAAUAAAAGGACACAUUCUACACAUGUAAAAACACGCUGAUUCUCGGACCGUCCAUGGGCCGGAUUGAGAAGGCAAUUGGGCCGCAUCUGCCCCCGGGCCUUAGGUUGCCUACACCUGUUGUUGGCUAAGACAGAGGAAAAGAUCCAGACCCUCGCAGUUCCACAAACAAUAUUCAACUGGACUGACAGUUGAGUCUUACUUCAAAACUGAUGCUAAUACAGUAUCUCCAACCUUUACUGAGAAUAUGCUCUAUGUGAUUUCAUGCUACUGGAUGGCUAUUGGUACAUUCAUCCAGAAUCUUGUCAGUCCCAGAAAAAGAAACAGUAGCAAAGAGCACAACCUCUAACAUUUGAACUGCGUGAGAUGACAGCUUCAGAAAAUGGGAAAACUCAUUCUGUAGCACGUUAUUUCAUGCUGAAUCCCAUGCAUGGCGUGAAAUCAUUUGUGUAUGACCUCUUCUUUCUUCAAACAGCCAUUUGCACCAGUUAGCACUACAGCAGCUGAGCUCAGUGUCUUUACUUGGGACCUUUGCAGUCGUUUGAUCCAGAGAUUAGUAAGAGAACCUGUUGUUGAGAGGGUUGAACUCCGCUUGAAGGAACAGGUAUAUAGUCUGGGGGUUACUUUGAGGUCCAGCUCUGUCAUCAGAGGCACAUGUGUUGUUUGCAGUGCAGAGUGCCUUUGGCUAGUGCUGUCUGGUCCACCAGCUGCUACCAUCCCUGGAUAGGAAUUUGGCCACAGUAAUUCACAGUCACUCAGUUUCAAAAAAUGUACUAUACUCUUUGUGGGUGUGGCCUUAAAGAGGAUGUGAACACUUCAGCUAGUGCAAAAUAUUGAGCUAUAUAGCUACUGAACAGGGUAGCUAGAUGGAGCCUUAAAACACCAGUUCUUGUUUAGGGCAGCCCUGUUAAGGGAAGUUUUUUAUGACUGAUGUUUUAAUGUAUUUUUAAUCUUUUGUUGGAAGCCGCCCAGAGUGGCUAGGGGAAUCCAGCCAGAUGGGCAGGGUAGAAAUAAUAAAUUAUUAUUAUAGUUAUCUUGUGGAACUGCAUUGAAUUACAAUACACUUCUGGGCAAAAUUGAUGGUAUUGUCAAUGAUUUAUAAAGCUUUGAACUACUUAGGACCUAACUACCUGAAGGAGCAUCUCUCACUAUGUGCUCCUGCCUGGAUGCUAAGAUCUGCUAGGGAGGCCCACCACCAGGUAUCAUAAAUUUAUAAAAAGCAAAAGAGGGCCUUCUCUGUGGUGGCACCUGAUUAUGGAACUCCACCAUCUCCCAAAUUUGACUGGUGCCAGCUUUGUUGUCAUUCAUCCAAUCAGAUAAAAACAUUUCCCCAAGCCUUUGAUCAUUUUUAAUGUUUGGAUGUCAUUUUGGGGUGGUCUACAGUGUCUGGUGUUUUUUGUUUUUAUUGCAAGUAGUAUUCAUUUUUAUAUGGUUUUAUUCUUCCAGCCUGGGGAUCUCAGGCAUUGUAGGCUGGAACCCUCCAGGCAACCUGUGUAUUCAAAGCUGACACAGAGGUUAGAUUAUGGACUUCUCCAGCAACUUAUGGUAUUUAUUCUGAUUUGCUUGUACAAAGCUUAUGCAGAGGUUAGAUUAUAUUCACAAUUCAUUCUUAUUUGUUUGCAAGGCAGUUAUAUGACAUUGAGCAUUCAUCUUGAUUAUCUAGUGGGGUGAUUUGCUUGGAUUGUGUGCUUUAACUGUGCUUUAAAGGUGUGCACAUAGCUGGAGACAGAGGCCUUUAAUCCACUUUAAAUGCACAAACCUGUUGUUCUGGUAUGCAUUUGAACCAAACUUACAAAAUACUGUCGGUCUGGAGGCACCCUAAAAAUAAACAAGUGAGCAUAGAAAUAAAUGUUUGAAUGAAUGAAUGAAAAAAUAAAUGUGCAGUCAAAUAAUACAGUAGAUGUGGUUGAUGAAAAAUAUAUCAAAUUCUCCUCCCCCAGUGGUGAUGGGUUACCAUUAGCAACUCCCCUGCUUGGAAUUGCUUGCUACCUCUCCCCCCUGGCAAUACCAUUUACAUCUGAAUAGCUAAGGAUUAGGUAUCAAUUGUCCCCAGGUGCCUGUGUUCUUUCUUCAGCUAAGGCUGCAACCACCAGAGCCUACCUCUUUCACAUUCUUUCACAUUUUUCUUCAUUAGUUGUUCUUUGUUGGCCAAGUGUGGCAGGCAUCACAAUUUUUGUUGUGCUUUGUUUACAGCACAUAGGGGCUUCUCUUUCUCCCAUUAUAACUGGUCUGAAAAUAGAACUCCAGUAGUGAAAAUGGCUGAAUCUACUGCUCAGUCUGUAGAAGCAAUUAAAAGAAGGAAAGAAAAUUCAUAAGAGAGAAGAGCCUGGGACAAAGCCUAAGGAAGAAGUGUGGUUCAAGAGCCAGAGCAGAAAAUGUUCUGAAACAUUUGCUAGCAUAAAGAAUAUUACAUAUGAAGAUUUUUAUUUUUUUUUAGAAAGUCAAUUUUCAUAUUUUAAAGCAGGGCAUAGGAACAAGACACAGCAUUAGUUGAAGGAGCUAUGCAAGAUUUAGCAAUGGUAGCAGUUCCACGCAUAAGAGGUUUUUUAUUACUAGUAGGAAAACUAAUUGAAGCCCAUCAAAUAAAUUAUAUUGAAAGACGUGCCAAUAAGGUGAAUCCAUAAAAAUAAUACAGGAUAUGCAAUUACAUGACAAUCAUUUCAGUAUGAGAAACAAAAGGACACCACAGAAUGAAAAAUCUGAGACUCAUAGCUGGAUGUCCUAACAUUUGUUUUUAAUUUGCUGCAGGUGUGCCCCAAAUUUAACUGGAGCUAUGGGGAGAGACAAUUAUUUCCCACUACCAUGUUAUUCUCCAGUCUACGCCUUCCUGACUCAAACUACUGUUAGUUCCAUGGUGGAAGUUAUACAUGUACCUGCAUUUUUUUCUCAUGCAGAACUAACAGGUUUGGGGGGAGGAAGUUUGUUUUAGAUCUGGAAAAUGGCACCAGAAGGGACCUAUCCACUGCUUAGGUCAAAUUUUGGGGGCUUCCAUGUCAGCUUUGUAUUUAAAAUGGAAACUUUGAGAUGUGUGACAUGCAAGACUUUGAUGUAAUGUUGCAUGGCCGUCCUAGUUCUUUUGGAAGGAAAGACAGGAUAAUAACAAUAACAAUAACAAUAAUAAUUCUAGAGUUGUGUAGUAAAAAAAGAGGCCUUUCUCUGCAUCCCAUAAGCAACUGUUGUGUCAGGCAAAGACUAGAUUUACAGGAUCACUUUGCGGAGGUGCAAGAGAUCCUUGUUUGACAUUUCCACCAGUUGUUCCUUGUAUCUAUGAUAGCCCUUCCAGCCUCUGCUGCUGUGGUGGAUCGAAGAUGGAGUGAGCUAUGCUUUGUUGUUGCAUAAACGGGUCAUCUCAUUUGAGUCCACCCAAGAAGCAGCUGAGCAAAGGAGUUAAUCAGACAUACACUUGUCUUUCAAUUUACAAUACAUUGAGGCAAAGGAAGCAACAGAAAGCCUCGUGCCUCCAUCUCCACAAUCCACUGUUCCUUUGGUCCGCACCAUAGAAUAGGGGGCAAAAAGAGAAACCCUACAUGGGCAUGAUCUGAAAACAAAGCAAUAUUUUCCGACAAACAUUGGGCUGAAUGGAGUAACAUCUGUCUCUUCAGGUUAUGGCAGUAGUUAUCCAAAAGGAAGUAUGUAAAAGGCAUAGAUGGCUGUGGCUUUGGCCUAGAGAUUUCAUGUGUGGGAAGUUAAUUGGCUGCCACAGCCUUUCCUUACACACCAAAACAAACCGAAUGUGCAACUGGAAAAGACAUCCACUCCACUCCCACACACGGGCCCAAAGUUUAAAAUUUAAAAACCAGAAGUGAGAGCAUUACAUUGCCGGACAGGUCUAAGACACUGAAGUUUUCACUAAACACAGCACACCUUUCUCCUUCUGCAGAUUUCUAAAUGCGUCAGUUGCCUCUGGACACAUUUUUUGCUCUUUGUCAGCAUAAGUUUUUGUCAUACAUAAAACUUCAGACGGGGUAAAAAAAACACGCUGCACCUUCCCCAAUUAAUCAUGAGCUCAGGCUUGUAGAUACAGGCCUCCUUCUGGGUUUUAGCCAUUCAUACCAAUUAGACAGUGAUUUACAGCUAGGUAAGGUAACUCAGGAAGAAAGCCUGUUUGCUGAGAGAUGGUGGGAAAGAUAGUCUCUCAACCAAAUGUGCAGAAGAGAGGCUAUUAAGAGGCUCAGAAUGUUUCAGAAGGCAAAGUGGAGCUCAGCCCGGAGCUUCACAUUAGGCUAAAAAGGUAUAACUUUCAACAUUAAUGAUUUGGGGUCCACUUUUCAUAUGAACAUGUCUGUUACAAAAUCUCUUAUUGCAAAGGAUGAUAUGUUCUAGUGUGUGCCCUGUCUGGGUGUGACCAUUGCUUAUUGUGAACUUGGAAAUGUCCUAAAGGUAAAGGGACCCCUGACCAUUAAGUUCAGUCAUGGACGACUCUGGGGUUGUGGCGCUCAUCUUGCUUUACUGGCCAAGGGAGCCAGCGUUUUGUCUGCAGACAGCUUCUGGGUCAUGUGGCCAGCAUGACUAAGCUGCUUCUGGCGAACCAGAGCAACACAUGGAAAUGCUGUUUACCUAUUUAUCUACUUGCACUUUGAUGUGCGUUUGAACUGCUAGGUUGGCAGGAGCAAGGACCGAGCAACAGGAGCUCACCCCGUUGCGGGGAUUUGAACCGCCAACCUUCUGAUCGGCAAGCCCUAGGCUCUGUGGUUUAGACCACAGUGCCACCCACAUCCCUACCUUCAUCUAGUGCCUUCCUGGAGAGGAGGGUAAGCUGUCCACCAUUACUGAUAUUACCUCAGAAUACCACUUUGCUGAAGCAUAGGGUUGCUGCUAAUGACUCUGGUUUUGUUAUGGCACUGUUGUUAAGACAACCUGGAGGAUACUUUUCCUUACUUUGUGCAUUUAUCUUGUGGGCUUGUUUGUCAGCAUGACUGGGCACCUGCUGAGUGCAAUUAAAAAUGUUGGUGAUGACCUUUAAAGCUCUAAAUGGCCUUGGCCCUAUAUACCUGAAGGAGUGUCUCCACCCCCAUUGUUCAGCCUGGACACUGAGAUUUAGCUCUGAGGGCCUUCUGGUGGCUCCCUCACUGCAGGAAGUGAAGUUACAGAGAACCAGGCAGAGGGCCUUCUCUCUCUUUUUUUCUUUUUUCAUAAUUUUUUUUUAUUAAUUUACAACAAAACAAAACAUGCAUAAAAUUUUUCACAUCCAAUUUUCACAAAUUGCUUCUUUUCUGGACUUCCUUCAGCUUCUCCGUAAAUCAUCCAUAGUCAUUAUUUUAAAUGCGCAUUUCAUAAUUUAUAUUGUCAUUGUUUAUACCCUUAAUUUCCUUUCUCUUUAAACAAUACUUCUUAGUUUUUCACAGUGCUUUUUUAAACCCCUCUAGCGUUAUCUGUCCCUCACUUAUACUUUCCAGAUAUUCCACAAAUUUCCCCCAGUCCUCGAUGAACUUUUGGUCUCUUAGGUAUCUAAUUUUCCCAGUCAAUUUAUCCAACUCAGCAUAGUCUAACAGCUUCAUUCUCCACAGGCAGAGGGCCUUCUCAAUAGUGGCACCUGCCCUGUGGAAAGCCCUCCCAUCAGAUGUCAAGGAGCUAUAUAUACAGUACAACUUUCUGAAGCCAUUACAGGCAGCCCUGUAUAGGGAAGUUUAAAUGUUUGAUGUUUUGUUGCGUUUUUAUGAUGUUGGAAGCCCCCCAGAGUGGCUAGGGCAACCUAGUCAGAUGGGCAAGGUAUAAGUAAUAAAUAAUCAUAAUCAUCACCAUCCAUAUCCUAGUAGGGGACACUGCCAGCUCCAGGAGCCCCCUGACUUGUCGUCCUCCUUGCUGUUGCUGCUUGAUCACCUGUCCACAAGUGAGCAGUGACAGCAGCAAGGAGGAGGAGAAGCCACUUCCACUCACCUUGUUCUCUCUCUUCUUUGUGCCUCUAUUGAUUGGGCAGAAGGGGAGAGGUCAAGUGAAUGGGCAGUGGUGACAGCAGAAAGAUGUGCCUUCUGACAGCAUCUUGUUCAAUACCCCUCAAAAAGAACCCUGCCACUAGUUUAAAGUUAUUCCAUUUCAUCUCUUGUCAACUUAAACUUAAGUUCUGGCUGCAUAUGUCUCUCAGUCUCGAAACACUUGCAAAGCAGAUGGAACCUUGCCAAAUGUGGCAUAAUAGGUAAUUUCCCCGUUGCAGAGAAAUUUGAAAUGAGUUACAAAAUACGCUUCUACAUUAGGCUCCUUUAAUCCUCCUUUAUAGCUACACUACACACAGAAGGUUCUUUUGCUAUUGUUCUCUAGACCGGGUUAGCUAUUCUUUCCAGGGAUAUGUUAGAGUGCUCUUUUUUAUUAUUCAUCUUCAGAAGGAUUUUGCUAAAACUUAAUGGGGCUGCUUUGAUUACAACAAUGUCACUUCUUUAUAAUUCGUUGUAGUAUCUGAAAAAAACAUUUGCCUACUGUUGCAACAAUUAGAUAUCUUAGCUUAAAAUAGGCCUCACUUGUAGAAUGACUAACAAAAUCAGACUGUCAUAAAUCUCUGUACCCUCUUAUUUUCUUUGAGCAAAAAUGGUCUUCCCUUCCAUUCUUUACACUGCUAGUUUUAAUUUAUUAUUUUACCUCGCAGAUUCAGUACCGAGUAUAUGUAUGUAAUUAUGUUGUAGACAAAAAUUCUAGUUCUAUAAUGCCUAGCUUGUUUCUAUCAUCUGUUUUUGUUUGCUUGUUAGUAUUGGAAUAACACCAUGAACAGCAAAUGUUGAUUAAGCAGAAAAAACAUAUAGAUGCUCCGCAACAUAUGCAUUCACUAAUGUUACUACCUGGGUGGUUUAGAUCUUGUUGAAGAAAAAGAGCGUUAUUUGCAAUAAAAAAAAAAGGUUUUGGCUAGCUGCCUUGUGCUGCCUAGGUCAUUAAACUGGUGGGCUGAGUGUUUCUCUGUAGACAUUUGAAUUCCUGUGUUGAACCACUCACAUCAGGCAAGAGACUGCAAAGCUGCAUAACCCACCCAAACCACAACAUGAAGAAUUCAACACUCUCAUUUCGCAGGCUGGCCAUAAUGGUUAUCUGAAUGACUGAAGUUAAUAAAAAGAGUAGCAGGCUUUGACCUUCCUGCUUUGAUGUUUUGUAAGAGUCUUCACAUUUCCUUGUGCCAGCAAAGUAAAGGGAGAAGAGGUGGGGGAGGCAGAGGAAGGAUUUGAUUUUAGCUUAGCCAGGCUUGGCGUUCUUUUGGUAUGAGCUGGCAUUCUGUGAUCAGCUCAGGGUCACAGACAACAAUUAUUAUUGUCAUGUAAAAAAGCUUCCAUUCAGAGGCCCUAGGCAAGCACCGGCCUCUCUUGGAUUAGGAAGGAGGGGAUUAAAAUUAGAGGAGGGAACAUGUGUCCCACACAUUGCACAACAACUGCUUUCAAAAGUGAGGCCUUGUCUGCAACGAGGUUGGUUAGUGUGAUUCAGCAUGAUCUGAGACAUCUGUAGCUUGAAGCUAACUAUGCCAUUUAUUCUGGGAAGAUCUGGAAGUUGUGGCACUGUGUGCAAACCAAAAUUGUAAAUAGUAUAACCAGGAUCCUUUGCAAGGCAAACAAAACCUUAUAGUACACUUCUGUCCAUCUUUACUCAGAAAUGAGUCCUACUGUGCUCUGUAGAGUGUAGAUAGGAUUGCAUUCUUAAAUCACAAGCCUAAGCACAUGUACUUGAGUACUGAACCCAGUAGGACUUCUCAGUGAACAUACUUAGGAUCAUGCUUUUGGUUGGGAAUGGAAUUAUUCUGACUAAUGUGCACUAUAAAAUGGAAGAAAGACAUUUUUUAACUGAAUGUACAUUCUGGUCAAUAUAAAAAAGGUAAAGAACCCCUGGACGGUUAAGUCCAGUCAAAAGCAACUGUGGGGUGCAGUGCUCAUCUUGCUUCAGGCCAAGGGAGCCGGCAUUUGUCCACAGACAGCUUUCUAGGUCAUGUGGCCAGCAUGACUAAACCGCUUCUGGUGCAAUGGAACACGUGACGGAAACCAGAGCGCACAGAAACGCUGUUUGCCUUCCCACAGCAGCGGUACCUAAUUAUCUACUUGCACUGGUGUGCUUUUGAUCUGCUAGGUUGGCAGAAGCUGGGACAGAGCAACAGGAGCUCACAUGGAUUUGAACUGCCAACCUUCUCAUCAGCAAGCCCAAUAGGCUCAGUGGUUUAGAUCACAGCGCCACCCGCUCCCUGUCAAUGUAGCAUUUAUAGACAAAAGAAAUCCGUAACACAUUUAAGUCAGUUGCGAAAACAUCUUAAAUAGCAUUCAAACCUGUCAUCAUUUGGAAAUCUGGAAUAGAUUAGGUCCCAAUUCUCUUCAUCUAGAUUCUAGAAAUACCUACCCUGCGAUCUGUGCUGAAAAUGCAGAGGGUGCAAUACAGAUAACUAGCUUGCAUGUGAAAGUACAGUGGUACCUCGGGUUACAGAUGCUUCAGGUUACAGACUCCACUAACCCAGAAAUAGUACCUCGGGUUAAGAACUUUGCUUCAGGAUGAGAACAGAAAUCGUGUGGCGGUGGCAGGGGAGGCCCCAUUAGCUAAAGUGGUACCUCGGGUUAAGAACAGUUUCAGGUUAAAAACAGACCUCUGGAACGAAUUAAGUUCUUAACCCGAGGUACCACUGUAUUGGAAUCUAAAUGUUUGGGGUGUCUUGUUGCUGCAGUUGCUUAAACCCUGUAUAUUUUGUCGACACUUUGUUUUCCUAACUUUCUUUGGACUGUGCUCACUGAAACUCAAGUACUGUACUAUAAUAUUUGGAUCAUAUUUUUUAAAAACAAGACAAAAGAUAACUUAUUUUCCUGUAGUAUAUUGAUCUUGAACAAACAAAGGUAUUACAUUGUUCUGAAGAGUACAGUGUUGAAUUAGAACAGGGGAGACCCAGGUUCAAAUCCCCACUCAGCCAUGAGGUUUAGUGGAAAUUCACUGGCCACCUUCUUUCAGGCUAACCUACCUAACAGGGUUGCUGCAAUAAUAAAAUGCAUGGGGGAAAACAUCCUUAGUAGGUUCUGUUCAACUUUUCAGGGAGAAUUGUUGUAAUGAGCCUCUUCAAACAUAUGCAGAAGAAGGACCCUACCAGCAGAUGUCAGUGUAAUAAAUAGCACAGCCAAUCUAGGACUUUAUUUCCAGGGAAAAGAGGUUCCCAUAUUUAUUAUUCUAGACAUAACUUACCGUCUGAUGUACAGAAGUGAUGCUGCUACUACCAUGAGAAGGGACUGUUCCAAGCAGCUUGCAUACAAUGGAACAGGUUCUGACCUGAGCUAAAAGACGACUUGCUAAAAAAAACUUCCAUGCCUACAAUUUUGGGUGUCUGUCUGUGUGUGUGUGCAAAGGCAAUGUAGACUAUUGUAGUUCCCUUGUUGCUCUGAUAAGUGUGGAAGCCUGGCCUAUCUUGAUAUGGAUGAGGAGUUUAUUCCUGUCAAGAGGCUGCCUUGUAAUAUGGGUGGUUUCCCUGUAUUUCUCUUCUUUGGCCAGAAGUAGUUGUUGGUGCAUAAACUGAAUCUUGGUUUGAUGCUCUCAAACCUCAAGUUCAGGAAUUUGUGGUCCUGACACCAGCAAAGGCAUUGGGCACCACAGAACUCUACAUCAUAUUAGGCACCUUUUGUUUAUGUAAGAAAUGGUGGUGUGUCGGCAAGCCCUCUUCUUUUAUAAUUGGUUGAGCUACUAUGAUGUCAUGGAACAGAAAUGGACAUGCUGACUUUUGUGGUAAAGAGAGCUUAAGAGGUAAGUGAGGUAAGGACGGGGAGGGGCAGGAAAGAGUGGCUGAAAUAUUUAUCUAUUUAUUUAAGAGUUUUGUAUACCACCCUUUGCCACCAGGUCCUAGAGUAGUUAACAUAAAUAAUGUAAUAAAAACAAAUGUAAAAAGAACAGGUAGUGUGGCUGAGAAACACAAGGAAGUAUUGUGGGAUGGGAUAAGUGGGCAAGUGUAUGUCAAUAACCAGCCAAGAGAGGAAGCAUAGAAUAUGAGCCACUUUUCCAUAUUAAGAGGGAGUAAACACUGGAGUCCCCCAAUUAACUUAUUCAUAAAUUGUGAACUGGGUGAAUGGACAAUAGAAUGGCAGAAGUGCAACAGAAGUGCAAAAUGAUGCAAACUGGGACUUCAGCAUUCCCACCACAAACUAAUGAGUUGUAAUUUGGAAUGCUUAUAGUUCUGAUCGCCCCACCGAGAUCACCGUGGAGGGGAAGGCACAGAAAUGGGCAACUGUCCAGGAAGAUGGAGCGCUGCGCCUAUGAAGUAAGAGAGCUUAGAGAUUUUGAGUUAAGAAGAAAAGAUGGCAGUGGUGGCUUGGUGUAGCUAGGAUUUUUUGGGGGGAGGGG
rnacentral:lncRNA from 1 species